UCCACUAUAAAUUUAAGCUGCGCUCCUACAGUCUGUCUCUUUCCUCUGCAAAAGUAAACUCCUUUCAUCACAAUCACACUCUCCCACAAGCCCAAACGACUGUUUAAUGCUUUUAACUCUAUUCUUAGCUCUCUUGCUCCUCCUACCAACUUGACAAACAUCGCAACUCACUUCACUGAGAAGAUUUCUACAAUUGGGGAAGAGAUCUCUCAUCUCUCUAUCCCCUAACCAAU